GGGAUUUCCUGGAAAAUCCCCGGCUCCUAAUAAGCUGUGGAGACAUGUGAAUGGGAAGCCUACAUUUGGAAAGUUGUCUUGAUGAAAAGAAAGCGCAGCGAUGACGGAACCCAGGCAUGUCCGUGAGUUGGCAGAACUGAGAUAAUGUUGGUUGUGUUGACAGUUGACAAUCAGAGCCAAGGACACCAUGCCUUUGAGACAUUUGCUCUGAAGCUGGGAAUAGCUUUUGCCUGGUGCACUCAGGGGUACUGGCAGAAGUGAUAGUCUGCCCUGGAUCAAUAAAAAAAGACACAGCCCUUACAGGAUUCAAAACUUCGGCUGGCUCCACUCUUGGCCAAGCUCUCGCCACCAAGAUCUGCUCAGGGUUAUUGGAGCCAGUCUGCACAGGUCUGGGGUAGCGAUGAAUCAGUACUUGUAAGGUUCCAUAAGCAGCAAGGAACCAGAAAUACUGGUUUUCGCCGAGUCUUGGAGAUUGAAGGACUUGUGUGACCGACUGUAACAGCAACUUCAAGUCCUCUCUGGGAAGAGGCGGGGCUUAUAAACACACAGAAGGCAAACAUACCUGACUCAAACGGAAGUUCGCGGCACUGGUUUGAUAGGGUAGUCGUGCUUAAUUCAAGAGCAUUGAAAAUGAAUUGAGGGCAAAGAGAAGCAGAUGCUGUCGGAGGGCCGUCUCAUGCUCCAUUGUAAGCACGAAAGGCAGAGCCAGUGGUGCCCAUGAUCAUCAGUUGCCAGGAUCCCGGACAGCCACAAAUUAACCCCUGUUACUAAGACCCAGGAGUGCUGACCUAGAUUGUAGGUGGGAGAGGCAUGAAGGAGCGAAGGUUGGAUACUAAAGAAGAUUAAAGCCUAAACAUCGCCUGCAGACAGCACCUGUGAUCAAACGGGAAGCGUGCCGGG